rfam:Erinaceus europaeus unplaced genomic scaffold scaffold00069, whole genome shotgun sequence
UGGGGUCCGAGGGAACGUCGCUUCCCAGUGGUCAACCACGAAGCAUAGGACCGCCACUUCAGAGAAGGAGUGAGUGAAGGUUCUCAUAGGAUCGCCGCUCUAUCCCAGAGUGAGUGAAGAUCUGCAUGGUGAUCGCUGCAGAUUCGCCCAUCUGUGAGAUUGAUCCAUUUUGAGGUAAGAAAGAGUGACACAGUUAUGGGACAAGCAUUGAGUAAACAGGAUUUGUUGCUUAAGGGCCUCAAAGAGUCCCUCAAGACACGAGGAGUAAAGGUUAAGAAAAAGGAUCUCAAGAAGUUUUUCGAUUUUGUGAGUGAUGUUUGUCCAU